UACAGAGGUCCCGAGCGUUGUUCGGAUUUAUUGGGCGUAAAGGGUGCGUAGGCGGCGGAGUAAGUUGGGUGUGAAAUCCCGGGGCUUAACCUCGGAAUUGCAUUCAAUACUGCUUCGCUCGAGUACUGGAGAGGAGGCUGGAAUUUACGGUGUAGCAGUGAAAUGCGUAGAUAUCGUAAGGAAGGCCGGUGGCGAAAGCGGGUCUCUGGGCAACAACUGACGCUGAGGAGCGAAAAGCGUGGGGGAGCGAACAGG
rnacentral:rRNA from 1 species